rnacentral:tRNA from 1 species
GGGCGAAUGGUUUAGUGGUAUAAUACUCCCUUAGCAUGACGUCAACAUCUGGGAGUGGUCCAGGGUUCGAUUCCCUGUUCGUCCA